UACGUAGGGGGCAAGCGUGGUCCGGAAUCAUUGGGCGUAAAGCGCGCGUAGGCGGCCCGGUCAGUCCGCUCUGAAAGUCCAGGGCUCAACCCUGGAAUGCGGGUGGAUACUGCCGGGCUAGAGUCCGGAAGAGGCGAGUGGAAUUCCUGGUGUAGCGGUGGAAUGCGCAGAUAUCAGGAGGAACACCGAUAGCGAAGGCAGCUCGCUGGGACGUUACUGACGCUGAGACGCGAAAGCGUGGGGAGCAAACAGG
rnacentral:rRNA from 1 species